CAAAAUAAAUUGGACUUUUAAUCGAUAUCAGCUUGUGGCGACAUCUGGUUGAUCCAUUCGAAGUAAUUUAAGAAAAGAGUUCAAAUGAAAACAAUUAACCGCUUUUUCUGGUUUCUUUGAAAUUUAUUCAUUAAAUUUUAUUGUCAUUACAAUUUUGUUUUUCGUCUUAAUUGUUCUUUUGGUUAAUUGUGUGAUUACUUUCAAGAUUAUUUUGGUGCCUUUGUAGAAAACAAUGUCAAUUGGAAGUGUUUGUACGUGGAAAGAGAAAGAGGAUAAAUUGGUAAAUUGUUUUGUUCCAUUGAAAAGAAUAUUUUUGAUAAAAAUGAGAACUACAAAGAAUAUCAAGAGUUGAUUAAGGAGAGUUACACUUCUCUUUAUGAUUAUAUUAAAUUGGAACUUGAGGAUGGUGAAGAUCCUUUGGAGAAAAUUGAGAAGGAAGAGAAAAUAGUGAAAGAGAAUAUUGAAAAUGCGAAAAAUGAGGUGAAAAGAUUAGACGAAAGUAAACAAAAUUUGAAAGUGUCUUGUAAAAAGCGCCAAUUAAAGGAAAUUGAAGAGAUGAGAUAAUCCAAACCUUGGAAUUGAUAUAAAUUCUAAGAACAAAUUCAAAGUUCUGAGUAAAUUCUUGAAUGUCUCAUAUAAAACUGACCAAGAUGGUCAAGCGACUGCAGUUCUUUUCAAAGAUGGUAACCGACAGAUCCGAUUCGAUGACCAAAGUCGAUCCAAGCAACAAAAGAUGAACGAAUCUUGGAAUAUAUUUAAAAUAACAAUCGAAAAUAAUCAUGAUCAUCUUUUUAUUGUCGUUUAAGUGUUUUGCAUCAUUAAAUUACCUCAAUAGAUUUAGCAACAAUUAGUUCUAAUUCGGGUUCAUUAGUGGACAACCAUCAAGUUAAUCCAAUAAAAUCUCUGACAAUUAGGCUGCGAAUGAGCGUUGUUAUAUUACAGCAUUUCUCAGUAACUUUCACCGAGUUACCAAGAAGUUUAGUCGAGUUCCCAUUUGGAUUAGUCAACCCGAUAGAUGGCAGAAUUUUUUUCAAUUCUUUGUCAAAAAUACAACUUAGAUGUUUCCUUUUUUUUAUCGCUCCUGAUAAACUUUAAUUUAAUUAACUUUACCUGUGAAUUUAAAAUUUAAUUUCAUGUUAUUAUUGUUUAUCUUGUCACACGGAACAAGUUGGUACCAAAAUCACGAUAGUUCAACAGUUAAUUCAGUUGUUUUUUGUUACUCUUAAAACUGAGACUCUUGUUGCGUCGUAAUAACUUCAACCAUUUUUGUUCUCUUGUUAAACUUAUUUGGACCUCAUCUCCACUUCCAUCUCAACCCUUGGUAUUUACAAUCAUCAAAUUGGACCUUUGGACAAUCAAACUAACCACCAGUCAAUUAAUAUAAUUUAUAAAUUUUCUUUUGUUUUUACCUAAUAAUUUGUAAACCAAAUCUAUUGUAAUUUCCCUCCCUGAAGUUGUCUGGAACAACUUUCCUCCACAGGAGGAGCUACAGAAAUACACUGUAGUAAUAAUGUUAACUCAUUGCAUCCAUCAGGAUGUUACCAAUAAAAUUGUCAAUGAGUUUCGCAGAUUAUCAAUUCAUUUGGUCAACUUCUCAGAACAAUUAGUCAAGUAGCUCAAUAUUACAUGAAGAUGAAUAAAAUGAAAAAAUUACUCAAAAUUCAUCAGUGAUUACGAAAAAAAUGAAAACAAUUUUCUAUCGAAACAU